rnacentral:lncRNA from 1 species
UCAAAACAGAGCCCUUCUAUCUUCUUCGGCCACCGCUUCAACUCUUGAAGGUGCCUCCUUAACCCAAAUCAUCGCCGAUGGCCAUUGAUUUCCUUCCUUCGCAAUCGUAUGCGCCGCUCGGUUCACCGCUCUGCCCACAAAAUGACGAGUAAAACUCUCAUAUCCUUGGGCCCUCUUUUUUAUUUCUUUGAUAAUCAUAGAAAUGCUUGAUCUGUCAUUCUCUGAUGAACGGAUUUUCUUAAUAACUAUUAAGGAAUCCCCUUCCACCACUAGUCGUCGGAAUCCCAACUCUUCGGCCACCGUCACCGCUUGUAAACAAGUCUUCGCCUCAACCGUGGUGGCAUCGGCCACAAAACUAUUUGGGUAAGCACAAGUCGCCAAAAUGUGCCCCUCACUAUCUCUAAAGAUUAUCCCAAAUACCGAACUAAACAUGCACUUGUUGAAAGUCGCAUCAAAAUUGCAUUUAACUUCAUUAAUUCCUGGUGGCGUCCAUAUACUAUUCAUCUGGUUCAUAGGUGUUGAAAUCACGGAUUCUGUAAAUGUGCUAUCUGAAUAAUAUGCUUUAAUAAACGUAACCAGACCCACUAUGUUCCGUUUUUCACCCUGAUGAUAUACCUUAUUUCUGUGGUACCAGACUGCCCAUAACACAAUAGUUAGCCAUUUGCAUUUCUCCUCUCCUGUACAAGAAAAUAUAUUUGCUGACCACAAUUUCCAACUUUGUCCUUGAAUGCUGGGCGAGACAUUUACCCCAACCCUUGCAGAACACUUUCAAUAAACAUGCAAUCCCGGAAUAUAUGGCUCACCGGUUCCUCUAUUGUACGACAGAGAGGACAAAUGUUCACCACCUGCAGAUUCCUCACUUGUAAAUUGUCAAACAUAGGGAUAUAGUUAUUAGCAAUUUUCCAUGUUGUAAUUUCUAUUUUGCUUGCAACUUGUAACUUCCAUAAUUUGUUGUAGAAGUUCUGUAAUAGCGUAGCUUGUUGUAACAUUUCCCCCUGCGCUGCUGUCACUUCUUCACUAAGCAGCCAUUUAUAGCCACUUUUUGCCGAAAACACACCUAUACUGUCUCCCCUCCACAUUCUUUCAUCAUCAAGAUCAACUUCAGCAACUGGGAUUGUCAAAAUUUUGUUUACCUGCUCCUCGUCAAAAAGCUUCCUUAGGACCUCCAACUUCCAGGUAGCUGUCUCUCUAUUAAUAAGAUCUGCUACAAUUUAAUUAAUAUCAAUAUUCUGAAUUCUAACUUUUCCAUGUCCAGGUCUUGGUAACCAGACAUCAUUCCAGAUGUUUAUUGAUCUGCCGUUUCCAACCCUCUAGCCCAUGCCUAGCUCCAGAAGUCUUCUGGCUCCCCAUAUGCUCCUCCAGGUAAAAGAUGGGUGAGAGCCUAAACUGGCACUCAUAAAGUCACAAUGUGGAUAAUCCUUUCCUUUCAUGACGUGAGCAAACAAACAAUCUGGUUUCAUAAUUAACCGCCAUCCUUGUUUAGCAAGUAUCGCUAUAUUGAACUUGGUUAGUUCCCUAAAUCCCAACCCCCCUUGUGCUUUCGGCUAGCACAUCCCCCUCCAAUCACACUAAUGAGUUCCCUUUCCUGUUUUAGAAUUUUGCCACCAAAAUUUACUAGUAAUGCUUUCUAGUUCACGACAUAACGUAACAGGCAACAAAAAACGUUACAUCGUAUAGACUGGGAUGGCUUGUAAAAUUGCUUCUUUACCUCCCAAGUGACAAUUGACGUAUACUCCAAUUUUCAAUACGUUUCCUGAAUCUAUCUUUGAAACUUGCAAAUGCCUCUUUCUUUUGCUUUCCAAUCAUAGUUGAUAACCCGAGGUAUUUUUCAAGGUUACUAGAGACCCUUACUCCCAUAGUUGUCCCAAUUUGUUUCUUCUUGAUGCUCGACACAUUAUUGCUAAAAAAUAAAGUCAAUUUAUCAAUUGCCCUGAAACUCCUUCAUAUUCGGUCACUAAAACUUUAAAAGUAGCCGCAAACGAGGUGCUGUCAUCUGCAAAAAAUAGGUGGGUUAAGGAAAGCCCACUUCUCCCGACUCUUACUGCUUUGAUAGCUCCUUCAGAUUUUGCCAAUUUAAUAAAGGCAGAAAAACCUUACGCACAUAUUAGAAAUAAAUUCGGGCUAAGUGGAUCGCAUUGCCUCAAUCCUCUUGAAGAUUUCAAAUUUUUCCCUUGCACAGAUAUUCCACCGUUCUAACACACUCCAUAACUAAGCUUAACCAAUUUUCGCAAAAACCCAUACACCUCAUAACUUAUUCAAUGAAACUCCAUUUCAACCUAUCACGUCUAAUUUCAUGGCAAAAUGGCCCUGUACACCACUCCUUUUUGUUUCAGCGAUUGUAGCACAUCAUAUGCAAUUAACGCAUUAUCCGUAAUUUGUCUGCCAAGAACAAAUGUUGCCUGUGCAUUAUCAAUACAUUUAUCAAGCACUGUUCUAAAUCUAUUUACAACCACUUUAGAUAUAAUUUAUACAGCACAUUACAUAUGCUAAUUGGCCUAAGUUUUGACAUACAGGGGUGAGAGCUCGCUUUUGGCAUAAGCGCAAUGCUAGUGAUGUUUAAAAUGCCAAUCUCCUUCUAUUCAAAACGUCUAAACAAUAUUUUGUAAUCUCAUCUCCAACAAUGUGCCAAUAUUUUUGAUAAAAAAGUGCAGGAUAAUCAUCUAUACCUAAUACCUUUGAAGGUGCUAUAUUCUUCAUUGCUUCCCUCACCUCUUCGGAUCUAAACUGUUCAAUCAGCUCAGUGUUCAUAUCUUCAUGAAUACAUCUCGUUAUCCCCAACAACACUCUCUCAUUACUGCUCGUAUAUGAAGUUGUGAAUAAUACCUUGAAAUAGUCAUUUGCCACUUGUAUCUUCUCCUCCUCUCCUUUGACCCAAUCUCUAUUUAGCCUUUUUAGCUUUUCCACAGUGUUCCUCUUUUUUCGUUGGUUUGUCCAAAUCGGAGCUAAUUUGCCCUAGCACGUUGUUCCAAAAACAUCUCUUCUUUGUUAGCUUCCAAGUCUAAAGCCAACUUGACUUCUUCCAUCUCUGCCAAUACUUCAUCAUCUGGAUCAAAAUUGCUCAAUUCAUUCAGCCUCAUAUUUAAUAGUGAUGACGCCUUCCUCUUAUUGGCAAUAAUUCGCCCCAUUUCAUCUCUAAGAAAAUUUUCAAACUUCCUUCAUUUGGAAGGGACAUCAUCCGAACAUUCUUCCCAAAACUCUUCAACUCGCUGUUCAAAUUCUUCCCCUAUGAUCUAAUUUGCAUCAAAUCUAAAUAACCCCUUUCCCCUCGGCUUGUACUUUCUAGUUUCAAUCCCCAAAUUAAUUAGAAUUGAAUAAUGAUCUGACAUAGCAUGCGACAAAUGUUUUAAAGAAUACUUUGGAAAACUCUCCCGCCAUGCCAAAUUUGCCACCCAUCUAUAAAUUCUCUCUUGAAUAUUGUUUUCUGGUAAUCAGCCGCUCUCCCAAGUGUACCAUCUUCCCGUAAAUCCCAUAUCGCUAAGUUCACAGUCCUCCAAUACUUUCCUAAAGCAAGCCAUAUUUCUUUCGUUUUGCAGUCAGCCCCCCUUUUUCUCAAACGAGAACAUAAUUUCAUUAAAAUCUCUCACAACCAUCCAUGGUAAAUCUCGAUAAGACCCAAACCUUCUUAGGAGAUUCUAUUAUUCUCUUCUUUUAUGUUUUGGUGCACCAUAGAAUCUUGUAAACCUACACGAUGGCAUACUCUCUCCAUCCUUUACUUCCAGAUCAAUAUGGUUAGUUGAAAAGCUUUUCAACUGUACAACAUAAUCCCCUUUGCACCCAAUUGGUAAACCCUUUUUUGAUCCAUGUGUACCAACAUCAAUUCCGUUAACAAAACAACACUUCAAUUGAACCUUUUCCAUUCUUUUUCCACUCAACUUUGUUUCAAUUAGAAACAAAAUUUGGGGCUGUAUAUGCCUCACCAUGUUUCUGAGACGAUUAAUCACCCGUGGAUGCCUCAAGCCACAAACAUUCCAAUUUAGGAUUUGCAUUGCUCCUCGUUGGCUCGCUUACCAACGGCCGCCAAUCUCUUAUUAAAUUCAAUCAGUAAACCAUUAAUACCAGACCCAUUUGACUAAUCAUCCCUUGGUCUUUGUCUCUUUUUCCCUUCACAACCUCCAAUUAGCUUGUUCUCCAUUAUAGUUUCUCUUUGAUCCAUCUUCCACGCCCCUUGAACAAUCGCAUUUCCUUCCUUACCCAUAACAUUUUGAUCAUUCAUAUCCAUACUUUGGUGAUUACUACCUCCUUGAAAACCUUUUGCCCCAUCUUCCCUUAACCACUUACUCUCGUUUGGAACCUUUUUUUGUAAAUGUGCCCUUAAAG